UACGUAGGGGGCAAGCGUUGUCCGGAAUCAUUGGGCGUAAAGAGCGCGUAGGCGGCCCGAUAAGUCCGCUGUGAAAGUCAAGGGCUUAACCCUUGAAUGCCGGUGGAAACUGUCGGGCUAGAGUCCGGAAGAGGCGAGUGGAAUUCCUGGUGUAGCGGUGAAAUGCGCAGAUAUCAGGAAGAACACCGGUGGCGAAGGCAGGUCUCUGGGCAUUAACUGACGCUGAGGAGCGAAAGCAUGGGGAGCGAACAGG
rnacentral:rRNA from 1 species